rnacentral:lncRNA from 1 species
UUUGUCUCAUGGAUAAUGUCCACAUUGUUGAAUUUUGAAAAUUCCAACUUCGUGGACCGAUGCUCUUCUCCGCUUCCUCUAUGCUGGCUCUCCCUUCUAGUUCCUUUUCCCUCGCCAUCCUCUCCACCAACCUCAUCAGAAAAACCAUUGAGACUCACAUUCUCAUUUUCAGAAUCUGAUGACAAGAUGUUUGCUCCAAAAACACUGUUGAGACUCCCUCCUUAUCAUUGGUUUGUUCUUCUCUACUUUCGCCUCUCCAGCAUUUACACUCUUCUGAUGAUAUCGGAUUUUCUUCUAUCGCUCGUACGAGAUAUACCUCUCCUUUAAUCUUAAUUUGUGCGCUAAAAUUUACAAGCAUUGGUGAUGCCACCAACACCAGUAAUUUGGCAUAGCUCACAUUUACCAACAUGGCAAACGUCGCGUCC